UUCCUGUGUGAUGGUUGGUCUGAUUGUCCUCUAGGAGAUGAUGAACACAAUUGUUCCCUUCAAUGUCCCACCGGAUACACGUGUGGUCACUCACCAUAUAACAUCAAGUAUGAACCGAGACACGACUGUGGACCAUCAGACUGGUUACCUUUCUGGGUUAAUGCUUCAAGUGGCUGGAGAACAGACUACGGUAACAUCACCGCUAAACUUGCAACUAUUCUCAACCUCCGGGAAAUUUAUCAUGAAACGUUGGAAGUUGGAACAUUUCUCGGUCUUCCUAAUCUUAGCU